GGAGUUAGCCGGUGCUUCUUCUGCGAGUAACGUCACAGAUGUAAGGUAUUAACUUACACCCUUUCCUCCUCGCUGAAAGUGCUUUACAACCCGAAGGCCUUCUUCACACACGCGGCAUGGCUGCAUCAGGGUUUCCCCCAUUGUGCAAUAUUCCCCACUGCUGCCUCCCGUAGGAGUCUGGGCCGUGUCUCAGUCCCAGUGUGGCUGAUCAUCCUCUCAGACCAGCUAGGGAUCGUCGCCUAGGUGAGCCUUUACCUCACCUACUAGCUAAUCCCACCUGGGCUUAUCCAUCAGCGCAAGGCCCGAAGGUCCCCUGCUUUCCCCCGUAGGGCGUAUGCGGUAUUAGCAGUCGUUUCCAACUGUUAUCCCCCACAAAUGGGCAAAUUCCCAGGCAUUACUCACCCGUCCGCCGCUCGUCAUCUUCAAAAGCAAGCUUUUAGAAAUGUUACCGCUCGACUUGCAUGUGUUAGGCCUGCCGCCAGCGUUCAAUCUGAGCCAGGAUCAAACUCUGA
rnacentral:rRNA from 1 species